rnacentral:rRNA from 1 species
AAUAGAUACCCAGGUAGUCCACGCCGUAAACGAUGAAUACUAGGUGUAGGGGUUGUCAUGACCUCUGUGCCGCCGCUAACGCAUUAAGUAUUCCGCCUGGGGAGUACGGUCGCAAGAUUAAAACUCAAAGGAAUUGACGGGGGCCCGCACAAGCAGCGGAGCAUGUGGUUUAAUUCGAAGCAACGCGAAGAACCUUACCUAGACUUGACAUCUCCUGCAUUACCCUUAAUCGGGGAAGUCGCUUCGGCGACAGGAAGACAGGUGGUGCAUGGUUGUCGUCAGCUCGUGUCGUGAGAUGUUGGGUUAAGUCCCGCAACGAGCGCAACCCUUAUUGUUAAUUGCUACCAUUUAGUUGAGCACUCCAGCGAGACUGCCCGGGUUAACCGGAGGAAGGUGGGGAUGACGUCAAAUCAUCACGCCCCUUAUGUCUAGGGCUACACACGUGCUACAAUGGCAAGUACAAAGAGAAGCAAGACCGCGAGGUGGAGCAAAACUCAAAAACUCGUCUCAGUUCGGAUUGUAGACUGAAACUCGCCUAC